rnacentral:tRNA from 1 species
GCCUUAGCUCAGUUGGUAGAGCAGCUGAUUUGUAAUCAGCAGGUCGUGGGUUCGAGUCCCACAAGCG